rnacentral:rRNA from 1 species
ACAGAUUGGUUAUAUUUAAUGGUGAUACCACUUUUAUUAUGUAAUGCAUAUCAGUUACUUAUAUUACAUCGUUUAAUUGGAAAGACGAGUAAGUCGGCCUAAUUAAGAGAGUUUUUACGCAGGGUAGUUGUACGAAUGAAAAUAUCGGGAUAAAAAAAGCUCUAUUACCUGAACGAAAGGUAGUAGAGCUUUUUAUGUGUAAAAAAUUAUUGGACAUCUUUACUUUUCGUACUUGUGUUGGAAAUAAGUUGUGAUACGGAUAUUUGCUCAUAGCCGUCACUCUUUAAUUUCUGUAGAAGCAGUGGUAAAGCUUUAUUUGUUUGAAGAGCAGAAUCGGAUGCAUGUAAUAAGACGAUAUCUCCACCUUUUAAAUUAUUAGAGACGGUGGAAACGAUAUUGUUUACGCCAGGGUUUUUCCAAUCGUUUGAGUUAUUACUCCAAUGAACGACAGUGUAUCCGAGUGAUUCUGCUAUUUUAAGUGUUGCCUUGUUAAAGUCUCCACUAGGUGGACGCAAUAGUUUAAUUUGUUUCACACCGAGUUUUGUAAAAACAUCUUGUGCUCGCAGAAGAUCUCUUCGUAUUUCAUUUGCCUCUAGAGAAGUGUAGGACGUGUAAUUAUAACCCAUACUACCGAUUUCAUGUCCAUCUUUUAUGAUGCGUUCAACAACAUCAGGGUGUCUUUCUGCCCAUGCAGCAGAAAGGAAGAAGGUUGCAUUCUUAAUAUCUCUUUCUUUAAGUGUAUCAAGGAUUGGAAUUGCUUUUUUGUCUCCCCAACUAAUAUCAAACGUGAAUGCAACUUGUUUUUUAGAGGUGUCGCCUUUGUAAAUAACUUUAGGUCCUGUAGCGGUUGAAAAAGCAGACUCGUGUGAAUAUGUUUUCAAAAAGAGUAGCCAUGCUGUAAAUAAGGAAAGUAUCACUAUUAAGCUAAUGUGUUUAAAGUUUCUUUUACUCGUAAUAAAAAAGAAAAACAUAAUAUUACGCCCCUUUGUCCAAUCCUUUUCAGUUACAUAUAUGCUGUAAAUAUAAAAAAGAGAACAAGGGAUUAAUAUCGUAAGUAGUGGAUAUAAUGGAUGGUAGGAUUUUGUUAAAUGGAAAUGGGCUUAAUUUUUAUUGCUCUGGAAGAAAUGAUUGAGGUGAUGAUUUGCUUGGGUUUAUGUUAACGAAAGAAGAGAAAAAAGAAAUGGAAUACAUAUUGAAGAGAGAGUUAGAAGAACUUUUAUUUGAUUUUGAAGAUGAACGUAUUCAUGACGUUGUAAAAAAGGCAAUGGAAGAAAGAUAUAAAAUCAUUUUUUGUUUGUUUCGAAGAGUCGCUAAUGCAGAAGAAUGUAUUCGUUAUGUAAGAAAAAGAACUUUUUAUUAAAAAGUGUUGACGUCGAUAGAUAUUAUAUGAUAAAUUAAUAACCGUCGCUGAUGCGGAAACGCAAAAAACGACAAAAAGAAAUUGAAAAACUUAGUUGACAUUAAAAAACGAAGAUGUUAACAUAAGGAAGUCGCAAAUGAGCGACCAAGUAGUUCUUUGAAAACUGAACGAAACAAACAACGUGAAACGUCAAUUUUUAUUUUAGAUGCUAGA